rnacentral:rRNA from 1 species
AGGGCACCACCAGGAGUGGAGCCUGCGGCUUAAUUUGACUCAACACGGGAAAUCUCACCAGGCCCGGACACUGGAAGGAUUGACAGAUUGAGAGCUCUUUCUUGAUUCAGUGGGUGGUGGUGCAUGGCCGUUCUUAGUUGGUGGAGCGAUUUGUCUGGUUAAUUCCGAUAACGAACGAGACUCUAGCCUAUUAAAUAGGCUCCCGGCUUUUAAACGCCGGGAGGACUUCUUAGAGGGACAGGUGGCGGUUCAGCCGCACGAAAGAGAGCAAUAACAGGUCUGUGAUGCCCUUUGUUGUCCGGGGCCGCACGCGCGCUACACUGAAGAGAUCAGCGUGCUUUACGUUCCUGCUCCGACCGGAGUGGGGAACCCAGUGAACCUUCUUCGUGAUUGGGAUAGAAGAUUGUAAUUAUUCUUCUUGAACGAGGAAUUCCCAGUAAAUGCGAGUCAUAAGCUCGCGUUGAUUACGUCCCUGCCCCUUGUACACACCGCCCGUCGCUACUACCGAUCGAACGAUUU